UUUUUAUUUUUUUUCUUUCUCUUUUUAAAAUAACACCAUUGCCUUGCAAAAACAAAUCAAAACCCAGUUUGAUUUUAUUAUAUUUAUAUGGUUGUUUUACCUGUAUUUAUGCAAAUUGUUGUUGCGACAAAAUGUGGACUAGCUUAGAAGGAAGGAAAAGCAAAAAAUAAUAAAAUAAUAGAAUAAUAAAUAGAACUUUCUGGUAUUUGUUUAGUUUGGGUUAAAAGAAGCCGAAGAAGAUUGCUAAAGUGACAGCAAGAACAAGGCAUACACGUGUCCGCCAAGCCAUGUAUGCAUAUACCUAAUAUGCCUAAAAGUUAGUUUGCUGUCCGACUGGAAUAGUAUUAAUAGGACGAUGGUUUGGGUUAAGAUUAAAUUCUAUAUUAUUCAUAAUAAUAUGAUAAUGAAAUAUUUUAUUUAGGGUCGCCUCGUUUAGUGGAAAAUUGAUGUCACACGUGGCAAUACAUGGUUGUUGCUUUUGGGUUGGUUAUCGUGGCGAUGGACGGUGCGUGGCGUCUCAUGUGGCCGCAUGUGAUUUAGUGGGCAUCAGUGGACGUUUAAAGCAAGUGGGCCUUAAUUCUGUACUAACCGACAAAAAAAGGGCAUAUGGGUCGAAACGGACCCUGGGCCUGUUACCGUUGGUUUUUUUUUGGGGGGUUCUUUUUGGGAAAUAAUAUGCUUCAUGUUGAGGGCAUAUAGGUAUUUUCACUAGCCCUUAAUUAUGCUAACUGUUUUCUGGCUUGGACCGCACUGCCAACUGCUGAGCACAAAAGCACGAAAGCUGACUACCCACAAUGCACCGUUUUCGUUUUUUAAGUUCCAAACAUAGCAAAACUCAUCAAAGUGCUUAUCAAAAAGCCUAUCCCGCUUUUUGCCCAUUACCUAAAGCAAAAGCUACGCUUUUGCCAGUCUGUUUUUGCUUGUUUUGGCCUCUUCCUUUUAAUUAGCUGGAAGAUUAUUGUUCUAAUUAGUUUUUUAUUUUCUGUAAUUUUGUUUUAUAGCUGGUAAGCCCAGGAGCAUGGCUCUGUGAUCUGACCCUAGAACGGUACGAGGUCAGAGAGAAGAAGAUUUCCAAGAAGGUAUUUUAUUGAGUAAUUUUCUUCGAUUCAGGGCCUAAAUCAAAUUUCCUUAAUUUGCCUUUAAUGUUGAUAUUUUUAUGCAGCAGAAUGAAUAGUUUUUUUGUGUUUUUGCAUGAUGCUGCAGAGACCAAGAGGGCUAAAGGCGAUGGGCAACGUGGAGUCUGACUCUGAAUAGAAAGGAGUUUUAGUGAAAAGACUAAUAUAGCAUUUUCGUUUUUUUUCUCCUCCUUUUUUUGAAGGUAUGAGAAAAAUGUUAGAACUUUGUAAAAAUCUUCACCUUUCAACCAUCAGAAUAAUGAAUGGAUUCAUUUCCGGUCCUGUAUACAGUCUUGUUCCUCAUCUUCCUACUAAGUUUGUUUAAUCAGAACAAGAAAAAAAAAACAAAUCAUCACGUCCAAGCACACGAACAAAUGAAAUUUCUCUCUUUCAAACCCUAAUUGUGAAAAAUAAUUAAAAUAAGCUUCAGGGAUGUAAUUCAAGUGGUUAGUCAUGACAUGUUACACAAUCCAACAAUUUUUUGUUUUCUUGUCAACCUACAACACAUUUUCUUAUGUCGUAUUAAGUUAGAAAAGGGAAUUAACGGUGUUGGAUAGUCGUCCAAACGCACGUGAGUGUCUUAUGAUUGUUCAUAUAUUAACAUAUGGGUCUCAGUCUAACAUACAUCGAUGACUUACGGUGGAAGUGCUCAUUAGGCAUGGGCAAAAUCAGUUUCAGACUUCACCAUCCGAGUGAAAAAGAAACUCGAGACUCGAUCGCUCUCAAGAUGUGAAGAAAAUCACGAAAUUGACUCUUGAGACGAGAUUUGAGACUCUUUAGAGGUUAGACUUCAAGAAGGAAGAAGAAAAACAACAAACCAUAACUCUCUUUAGCUGACACACGUAACGUAAAACCACAAUAUAUGAAUUUGCAAAGCUAUUAAAGACAAUGACAUCUAAAAAUUUACCCGAGACAGGAGAAAAACCAGAACCCCAACUCCCUAAAGUUACCUAGUCAUUAGCAAAUUGAAGGGCCACGUCUAAUUUAUAAUGAUAAGAGAUAAUAUCAUUGUUUGGUCGCAUGAUUUGUGGAUGCCACUUUACAUUAUGUGGCCUCCUUAAUUGGUAUUUUGAUGUGACACGGAACACUUAACGCGGUAAUUUAAUUUCUUAACGUAAUUGACAAUUUCAAUGAAAAUCCAUGACCUAUCAUAUCAGACCACCAAACCAAACCCAACUGAAUUAAACUAUUGGAAGAGGAGAAAACAUGGGUCCUAAUUCAAAUUAACAUUCAUAAUUCGCCAUCAUUGACGGGAAGACCCGAAUUAAUCCCCUUAAUUAUGCCACGAAGAAGCAUAAACACAUUUUAAGAAUAACAUCUGCUCUGUGAGAGUUUGUGGAGACAGACAGAUCCACCACCCACCAUCCAGCUGGUUCUCAAAAGGCAAUUCUAAUGCUACCUGCGGGUCGUGAAGAAAAGAGGAAGAUUUUUCAAUUUAAUUAGCCCCCAAAAAAUAGCAUGGAAAAUACCCCCAAAGGGCCCUAAAUAUACCCUUACCCACUGGGCAUAUUUGUCAAUAAACACUGAAAUUAGGGAUUUUUUCAGGACCCAAACACAAUUGCUAUAGUCGGUGACCCAGAGCCUAUCAAAUUAUAAACUCAUUACGUGUUGCAGUUGGAAUUACAGCUUUAUUCUGUUAGAAUAAAUGAUUAAUUUACACCGACUUGGCUACGCCGCUUUUUUGGUCCAAGCGAAAAUAAAAUAAUUGGAUCUGGAUUUGUAAUUUGCCGCUUUUUAUUUGCAGGUAAUGAAAAUGAAAUAACAAUUUGGAUAUUAGUUAAUUUUGAUAUCACAAGCUAGACAAACACCAUUCUCAAAGCAACUCAAGCAUCAAACACAGGAGGAGGAGGAGGAGGAAGACAAACGAAAUAAAAUCAAUGAAUUAUUUACUCAUAAUAAGGAUAAUAAUCGAAAUCCACAAAUACAAAACCCAUAGUAAUAAACCAAGUGCAUUAUAUAUGUAGUCUAUGCACCACAAAAACCCAUAUGACACUGAAAAUCCUAUAGAUCCAUAAUCACCAGCUACUAAAAUGACAAACGCUACUAAUAAAAAACCAAUCAGAAACCCAACCGCUCUCUACACAGCCCCAACCAUAGUUGCAGUAGUAAGCGAAGACUCAAACCCUGAGCGCAGAUCCGAAGACGAUAGCGGCGAAGGCGGCGGCGAAAGCAGAGAUGAACGACGGGGAGAUGGAGGCGGAUGCGGAGGUUGGGCUAGGAGCUGGAGAUUCGGCGGCCUGAGCGGCGCCGAUGACAGAAAGGACGGUGACGAAGACCGCCAUGAGAGCCACGAGUGAAGUUGCCUUUGAGACUGCCAUUGUUGAUUGGUGUGAGAGUUUCUUGUGCUUCGGAAUCUAGGGUUUUGGGAAUACGCCGAGAGACUGAAGCACAAAUAUCAGAGGUGGAAUGAAGUAGGCUCAAGGAACGUAUUUAUAGCGGGGAUUUUGGGCUGGGGUCGGGCAGCCUGGGCAGCUGCCCGGUUCUACAGGCUGGCUACUUGUGAUUGGUUCAGCGCGACAGCUCACACCGCUGGUCGGGGUAAAUUUUUCUCUGUGGGCCCCACUAGAAACCAGUGUCUACGCGGAGUCGUUU
rnacentral:lncRNA from 1 species